UUGGUCAUUUAGAGGAAGUAAAAGUCGUAACAAGGUCUCCGUUGGUGAACCAGCGGAGGGAUCAUUACCGAGUUUACAACUCCCAAACCCAAUGUGAACGUUACCAAACUGUUGCCUCGGCGGGAUCUCUGCCCCGGGUGCGUCGCAGCCCCGGACCAAGGCGCCCGCCGGAGGACCAACCAAAACUCUUUUGUAUACCCCCUCGCGGGUUUUUAUAUCUGAGCCAUCUCGGCGCCUCUCGUAGGCGUUUCGAAAAUGAAUCAAAACUUUCAACAACGGAUCUCUUGGUUCUGGCAUCGAUGAAGAACGCAGCGAAAUGCGAUAAGUAAUGUGAAUUGCAGAAUUCAGUGAAUCAUCGAAUCUUUGAACGCACAUUGCGCCCGCCAGUAUUCUGGCGGGCAUGCCUGUCCGAGCGUCAUUUCAACCCUCGAACCCCUCCGGGGGGUCGGCGUUGGGGAUCGGCCCUUUACGGGGCCGGCCCCGAAAUACAGUGRCGGUCUCGCCGCAGCCUCUCCUGCGCAGUAGUUUGCACACUCGCAUCGGGAGCGCGGCGCGUCCAUUGCCGUAAAACACCCAACUUUCUGAAAUGUUGACCUCGGAUCAGGUAGGAAUACCCGCUGAACUUAAGCAUAUCAAUAAAGCGGAGG
rnacentral:rRNA from 1 species